rnacentral:lncRNA from 1 species
GAUUGACACAGGUCAAGGGGACUUCAAGGAAGAAAGCCAGCCUUAGACUGACAUCAGAGAACCAAACUCCGGUGUCUAAGCUCAAGCCUUGCGUGGAUGAAACAGUCCCAACGAACACUUUAAAAAGACAAAUGUUCCCGACAGCACUGGUUGAAUUCAAAACUCGGCAGAUCCAUGUUCUUAUCCUUAGACAAGAGAGGGGCCAUAACAAGAUGGAAUGACGGAACAGACGUGAGAGAUGAUGGUACAGUGACUCGGGUAACCCCAGAAAAGGGACAGCUCUUCUACAGCUCAGUGGGGACAGGGACAAAAAGAAACAAUUUCAUUUCAGUCCACCCAGAGGGUCUGCACUUCUCGGAGCCAGAAGGUGGAGAAGAGUAGGGAUGGAGGAAGUUCGAAGUUUUAGGAGUCUGCUCUUGGGUCCCUAGGCAUGAGGACAAGCUUUUCCUGUACUCAAUGCUCAUCUCUCAGUUGUGCCCACAUUGGUACACAUUACUUGCUUUCAACUGCUGCUGCUGCUGU